GACGAACGCUGGCGGCGUGCUUAACACAUGCAAGUCGAACGGUGAAGGGACUGGUUUUGCUGGUCCUGGAUGAGUGGCGAACGGGUGAGUAACACGUGAGUAACCUGCCCCCUUCUUCUGGAUAACCGCAUGAAAGUGUGGCUAAUACGGGAUAUUCUGGGUCUGUCGCAUGGUGGGCCUGGGAAAGAUUGCGCCUUUUUUGGUGUUUUUGGUGGGGGAUGGGCUCGCGGCCUAUCAGCUUGUUGGUGGGGUGAUGGCCUACCAAGGCGGUGACGGGUAGCCGGCCUGAGAGGGUGGACGGUCACACUGGGACUGAGACACGGCCCAGACUCCUACGGGAGGCAGCAGUGGGGAAUAUUGCACAAUGGGCGCAAGCCUGAUGCAGCGACGCCGCGUGAGGGAUGGGGCCUUCGGGUUGGGAACCUCUUUCGCCAGUGAAGCAGGCCUGCCUCUUUGUGUGGGUGGGUUGACGGUAGCUGGAUAAGAAGCGCCGGCUAACUACGUG
rnacentral:rRNA from 1 species